GCAGCGCGCGGUUUCGGCGGUGACGUCACCGCCGUGAGGGGAACGGAGCGAUGGCGGCGGCGUCCGCAGUUCUAGUUCUGCUCCCUGGAGUGCUAGCGAGGAAAAGGAGCCCUCCUCCUAGGAAGAUCCCAGCAGAAACAGUUGCAAACUUGAAGUGCUGGGGAUUGGGAACAGAGUGAACUGCAGAGUGCAAGACAAGAUACAAGUCUCUCCUGUCAGGGUUACAUGCCCUCACAAGUGAUUUCUCCCAAUUAGGACUGACAGCCCAGUCAAGUCCACUGCAAGCAUCUCCCUAAGAACUGCAGACACUGCAAGGCUGGGUGUUUGACCCAUGAACAGAACAGAGGAUGUGCGGACACCUUCAACAGAGGCAGCUGUUCAGGUGCUACAGCCAUCCUAACAGCCCUCACUGACGGCUAAAAGGCAUUCCAAACUGAAAAAUAAACAUAUUUUCCUCAUGUCAUAGUGUUGCUCUUGUUGCUACUGUUUGCUUCAAUACUGCAUGAAAUAUGCAAAUGUAACUAGCUUUAAUAUUUGUGUCUGAGAAUACAAAUUAAAUAUUUUGGAAUGUAAAAAAUGUAAAUGUAAAAAAUGCAACAGAAAAAGAAAGCCUAGUAUUGGUGGAUAAGAGGUCUGUAUUAAUUUAUAUAGUUUCUUAAGAAAUUUUUAUUUUUAAUUAAAUAUUCUUCAUGCCUAUUUUCACACACACACACACACACAUAUACACACACACACACACACACACACACACACAAAAUCACAGUCUUACUGACGUGUUCUCAUCCUAAGUGAUGCGUGUGCAGUCAAUGUGCAAAAACCAUUGCAAAAAAAAUAAAAUAUUCUUUCACAUGAUAUGGAUUUCUCCCUGUGAAUAAUUGUAUUUUACUUUAUUUCUCAACAACUUUAUUUAGCCUGGAUAGUUUAUUAUUAUUUCUGUUUAUACAGAAAACACCUUUCUUGUCAAUAAAAAAACCAUUUGUAUGGAAGAAUGAAACUGUUCUAUAUGAAGAAAAUGCCAUUUACAUGUAACUAUUAUGAAUUUAAUAGUACAUAGCCAAUUGACUGUACAUGCAACUUAGAAAAAAUUUUACUGUGUUUAACCUAGAAUGUCUUAAUGUAGUGAAAGCUUUGAGUAGAAUACUGUUAAGCACCAUGAAAUUUUCCACUCACAGCUAGUAAAUUUAUACAGGACAUGAAUGUGUGCCCAAGGGAAAACCAGAUAGGUUAGGGUGAUGUGCAUAAAAGAAAAAGCGAUUUGAUGACACUAAAUACUGAACAUUGUACUCUACAUGACUGAUGAAUGUCACUGUUUUGUGCCUUUGAAAACAAGUUUCUAUUGACCAGAAAAAGAAAAGAAGGAAAAAGGAGGAAUACUUUCCCAAUUUCAGUGCAAAAGGGAUAACAAAAGGUAAGCAAAGCACUGAAAUCUGUUCCAAUUAUCUAUCUAACUAUCUAUCUAUCUAGAAGAUUUUAGACCAUUUUUACCCCUAAAUAUUGACUUUAUCGAAUUUUGUUAAAUGACCUCUGGCACAAUACAUGUUUUUCUUGGAUUCAACCUACAGACUGCAUUAGACAUUUGCGGGAUGUCAGCAGUUUUUCAAGCCAAACAACUCAACUGUAAAACUUGGGAAAUAAUUAAAGAUGAAGGAGUUCCAAGUAGUGCCAUUUUUACUCUAGUGCAGUUACUAUCUAUUUGGCCUGUAUUUUUUAGCACUGCAAUUUCAUCUGUAAGUUUUGUGAUUCACUUAAAACAGUGCAGUGUACUGAGUGUUUUAACUUAGGUUUAGACAUGAUUUAAUAUCCUCUACAUUUCACAAAACAUUCUCAUUUCCAGGCUUAGUCCACAGAAAACUUUCUGCAAAUAAAUCAAUUUUCUUUCCUUCGUCCACAUCUCCUGGAUUUAUCUCUAUCUUUGUCCUACUUUUACACAAUUUUCCAUGAUGAGUCAGUCUCUUCUUUGAUUUAUUAGAAAUAAUGACAUGAAGACCAUAAAAUGAAGUGAGAGUCAUAGAGGAUCAAAAUCAAGAGUUUUAUUGGUCAUAGAACAAAGGACUUGUUUGACACAUAUUUGGUUUUUAGAAACUAGAAACUCUUGGCUUCUGCAUUUUACCUGAGAUUGUUUGUUUGACAGAAGGCUACUAAAGUGCACCAAUCUUCUGUGUGCAUUUACUAUACAUCACACACAUGAAAUCAGCCUGUGUGAACACUUGUGUAAUACAUUAUAGCUCUCAAUUAGUGCAUGAGAUAUCGCUAUGGAAGUCAGCCCACUGGUUUUAUGAAAAAAAGAUUACAUUAUGUUCAUCAACCAAAAAUACUGAUACUUUGGAAAUACUUUUUAAUCUGUCACCUGAAAAUAUAGACAAGAGAAGCCCACCUGAAACAGACACAGAGUGUCAUAACAUUGGUAUUAAAUAUUCUUUGUUCAGUCUUGAACUGCAAGUGUACUGAGAUUUACAAAAUAGUUUUGGCAGAUAAUGUUCUGUAUUUCUGAAAAUACCUAUUGUUAAUGUCCUCAAAAGAGCAAUGUGUACUACCUUGCUGAAUGGAUAAAUAGCUUUCUGCCUAGACAACAAUGUGAACUGAGUAUUUCUUUUGAGUCCCAGAGCCAUUAGGUCUUGUGAGGUUAAAGUUGCAAUGUGAUGAAUUAUGAUUUUGUUUCUAGUCUCACAGAAACAAUGUACCUUAGGAGAGGAACAGAAUGAACAGAAUAUGGCAAAUUAUCUUAAACAGCAUUACAAGAAAAUGUGAUGAAAUAUUGACUAACAAACCUUUGGUCAUAGGUAAAAUACAGAGGAUAUAAUUAGAAAAAACUAUUAAAAAACAAACAAAACUAUUAAAAUACAUUAAUUAAUAUGUACCACUAAAAGGUCAACAUUGCUUUUGUAAAGAGGUGUCAAACCUUAGGCUAUCAUUAAAUGUUUGAAGAAACAACAAGAAAGCAGUUAAGAAUAACAGGACUGAUAAAGCUCUGGGUUUUUUUUUUUAAAAAACCGCUUUUAGAUGAAAUCUCUCACUACAAAUUUUGCAGAAAGUAAGUUGCCAUAAGAAGGAAGGUCAUCUCCUAGACUGACGACGCACCAAAUUUAGGAAGCAGAGACUAGGAGUUCAUUAGCAGCUCAAAAUGAAAAGAGGUUUCCCAAGUUUUGCUGUGUUUAAUUUUUUUGCAUAUAACUGAGAAAAUGUAUGCUAAAACAGACAAAUGAGUACCUAAUUAAGCAAGCAGUUGGAAGCUCUGGAGUUUUCUCUCAGCUCACAUCAGCUCAAUUAAUGGUGUAAAAAACAUAAACAGCCUGAUGUAAAUUAUCUUAAUAGAAAUAAACCCCAAAUAUUAUUAACAUAAAGUAAUUGGUAUAUCCAUGUUUUGAAUGCUGUUUGCAGUUCCACCACAAUCUCAGGCAUCCUAGUACAGAUGGUUAUUAUGUGUUCAUAAAAUAAUCAGUAUUAAUAACAACAGUUUAAGCACUUCUUAACCCUAGGAAAAUUGUUUUUGUUAAACUUCUGAUAUAUCUCACUGCACUGAUGUGUGUUUGGUCACAUUUUUACAAGUCUUAACAGCUUACAGGAUGCACCUUCUAAUAAGAGUAAGUCUAAUUAUAAAUUGCCUGUUUUUCUUAAUAUAUAUUCCUUCAAUUUGCAGUGUGACAUAAACUGUGUGUUUAACUAUGUUGUCAGUGAACAAAAAAAUAAAACUUCUAUUAUGAGAAUA